rnacentral:rRNA from 1 species
CCUGGCUCAGGAUGAACGCUGGCGGCGUGCCUAAUACAUGCAAGUCGAGCGGUAAGGCCCCUUCGGGGGUACACGAGCGGCGGACGGCUGAGUAACGCGUAGGAAUGUACCCCAAAGUGAGGGAUAAGCACCAGAAAUGGUGUCUAAUACCGCAUGUGAUCCACGGAUUAAAGCUUUAGCGCUUUGGGAACAGCCUGCGUAUGAUUAGUUAGUUGGUGAGGUAAUGGCUCACCAAGACGAUGAUCAUUAGCUGGUCUGAGAGAAUGAUCAGCCAGACUGGGACUGAGACACGGCCCAGACUCCUACGGGAGGCAGCAGUAGGGAAUUUUCCACAAUGGACGAAAGUCUGAUGGAGCAACGCCGCGUGCAGGAUGAAUGCCUUAGGGUUGUAAACUGCUUUUAUUAGUGACGAUUAUGACGGUAGCUAAUGAAUAAGGACCUGCUAACUACGUGCCAGCAGCCGCGGUCAUACGUAGGGUCCAAGCGUUAUCCGGAAUUACUGGGCGUAAAGAGUUGCGUAGGUGGCAUAGUAAGUAGAUAGUGAAAGCGUGUGGCUCAACCAUACAUCCAUUAUCUAAACUGCUAAGCUAGAAGGCGAGAGAGG